rnacentral:rRNA from 1 species
GAUGAACGCUGGCGGCGUGCCUAAUACAUGCAAGUCGAGCGAACAGACGAGGAGCUUGCUCCUCUGACGUUAGCGGCGGACGGGUGAGUAACACGUGGAUAACCUACCUAUAAGACUGGGAUAACUUCGGGAAACCGGAGCUAAUACCGGAUAAUAUAUUGAACCGCAUGGUUCAAUAGUGAAAGACGGUUUUGCUGUCACUUAUAGAUGGAUCCGCGCCGCAUUAGCUAGUUGGUAAGGUAACGGCUUACCAAGGCAACGAUGCGUAGCCGACCUGAGAGGGUGAUAGGCCACACGGGAACUGAGACACGGUCCAGACUACUAAGGGAGGCAGCAGUAGGGAAUCUGCCGCAAUGGGCGAAAGCCUGACGGAGCAACGCCGCGUGAGUGAUGAAGGUCUUCGGAUCGUAAAACUCUGUUAUUAGGGAAGAACAAAUGUGUAAGUAACUAUGCACGUCUUGACGGUACCUAAUCAGAAAGCCACGGCUAACUACGUG